UACGUAGGGUGCGAGCGUUGUCCGGAUUUACUGGGCGUAAAGGGCGCGUAGGCGGCGUGGUAAGUCACUUGUGAAAUCUCUGAGCUUAACUCAGAACGGCCAAGUGAUACUGCUGUGCUAGAGUGCAGAAGGGGCAAUCGGAAUUCUUGGUGUAGCGGUGAAAUGCGUAGAUAUCAAGAGGAACACCUGAGGUGAAGACGGGUUGCUGGGCUGACACUGACGCUGAGGCGCGAAAGCCAGGGGAGCAAACGGG
rnacentral:rRNA from 1 species